rnacentral:rRNA from 1 species
GACGAACGCUGGCGGCGUGCUUAACACAUGCAAGUCGAACGGAAAGGCCCUGCUUUUGUGGGGUGCUCGAGUGGCGGACGGGUGAGUAACACGUGAGUAACCUGCCCUUGACUUUGGGAUAACUUCAGGAAACUGGGGCUAAUACCGGAUAGGAGCUCCUGCUGCAUGGUGGGGGUUGGAAAGUUUCGGCGGUUGGGGAUGGACUCGCGGCUUAUCAGCUUGUUGGUGGGGUAGUGGCUUACCAAGGCUUUGACGGGUAGCCGGCCUGAGAGGGUGACCGGCCACAUUGGGACUGAGAUACGGCCCAGACUCCUACGGGAGGCAGCAGUGGGGAAUAUUGCACAAUGGGCGGAAGCCUGAUGCAGCAAUGCCGCGUGCGGGAUGACGGCCUUCGGGUUGUAAACCGCUUUCGCCUGUGACGAAGCGUGAGUGACGGUAAUGGGUAAAGAAGCACCGGCUAACUACGUG